UGAUUCCUACGGGGGGCAGCAGUGAGGAAUAUUGGUCAAUGGGAGAGAUCCUGAACCAGCCAAGCCGCGUGAGGGAAGACGGCCCUAUGGGUUGUAAACCUCUUUUGUCGGAGAACAAAACCCGGGACGUGUCCCGGACUGCGUGUAUCCGAAGAAAAAGCAUCGGCUAACUCCGUGCCAGCAGCCGCGGUAAUACGGAGGAUGCGAGCGUUAUCCGGAUUUAUUGGGUUUAAAGGGUGCGUAGGCGGUCUGUUAAGUCAGCGGUGAGAUUGCGGGGCUAAACCCCGUCGAGCCGUUGAAAAUGG
rnacentral:rRNA from 1 species